CUGGUUUUCUCGUGGGAGGUCAGGCCCAGGAAAGCAAUCUGCAAAAGAAGUUUGGAAGGUACAUGAAAAAUACUGCUAUGUCAAGGUUCCGUUUCUCUCCGUGCAUCACAGGACAGAGGAUGCUGACCCUUUCUGAGUGUCCAUCCUGAAAACAGACCUCACAAAGGACAGAACGGAUGGAGGCUACACAGAGCCAGAAGUAGCUGUAACUGGCUCACGCGAGGCUCGUGUGCAUCAGGGCCGUCGCAUCAGGAGUGUUAAUGCCAAAGAAGGUGGGAUGGCGGGGAGGCCUUGUUAGAAAAAUGAGGCACAAGUUCAUUUUUCCUGUCUGUGAAGUAAUGAUAAAUGACAUGAUGUCCUCAUUCGGUGCCAGAAUAUAAAUGGGAUAAAACUAACAAAAUACGUUGACUAGUCUACAUGGUCGCAGGUGAAUAUAAAGUGGGACCAUUUCUAACAGACAAAAUAUAAUACAAAAAUUGGUUCAGAGCCAGAGAAUAGAAACAAAGAAGGAAGAGCCAAUGCA